CUAAGGUGAGUCGUAAGGCGAGCUGGACAGUAUACGAGAGAGAAUGUUGGCAUGAGUAGCGAAAGGCCGGUGAGAAUCCGGUCCACCGAAAAUCUAAGGUUUCCUGAGGAAGGUUCGUCCACUCAGGGUAAGUCGGGACCUAAGCCGAGGACGAAAGUCGUAGGCGAUGGACAACUGGUUGAGAUUCCAGUACCACCGAAAGUCAUUUGAGCGAAGUGGGGACACAGAAGGAUAAGCAGAGCACGCCGCUGGUAGAGCGUGUCCAAGCAGAGAGGCUGAUAUCCAGGCAAAUCCGGAUAUUGAAAGGCUGAUCUGUGACGGGGAGGGAAAAGAAGUACCGGAAGCUGCUGAUUUCACACUGUCAAGAAAAGCCGCUAGCGAGACUGUAGGUGCCCGUACCGCAAACCGACACAGGUAGAUGAGGAGAGAAUCCUAAGGUGAGCGAGAGAACUAUUGUUAAGGAACUCGGCAAAAUGACCCCGUAACUUCGGGAGAAGGGGUGCCAUCGAAAGAUGGCCGCAGUGAAAAGGCCCAGGCGACUGUUUACCAAAAACACAGGUCUCUGCUAAAGCGAAAGCUGAAGUAUAGGGGCUGACGCCUGCCCGGUGCUGGAAGGUUAAGGGGACUGCUUAGAGCGAUCGAAGGCAUGAACUUAAGCCCCAGUAAACGGCGGCCGUAACAAUAACGGCCCUAAGGUAGCGAAAUUCCUUGUCAGGUAAGUUCUGACCCGCACGAAAGGCGUAACGAUCUGGGCACUGUCUCAACAAUAGACUCGGUGAAAUUGUAGUACCGGUAAAGAUGCCGGUUACCCGCAGCAGGACGGAAAGACCCCAUGGAGCUUUACUGCAGCUUGAUAUUGGAAUUCGGCAUUGCAUGUACAGGUUAGGUGGGAGACUGAGAGAAGAGUACGCCAGUAUUCUUGGAGUCACCGUUGGGAUACCACCCUUGUAAUGUUGAGUUUCUAACGACGUGCCGUGAACCGGCACUCGGACAGUGUCUGGCGGGCAGUUUGACUGGGGCGGUCGCCUCCUAAAGAGUAACGGAGGCGCCCAAAGGUUCCCUCAGUGCGGACGGAAAUCGCACGAAGAGUGUAAAGGCAGAAGGGAGCUUGACUGCGAGACAAACAGGUCGAGCAGGGACGAAAGUCGGGCUUAGUGAUCCGGUGGUACCGAGUGGAAGGGCCAUCGCUCAACGGAUAAAAGCUACCCUGGGGAUAACAGGCUGAUACCCCCCAAGAGUCCACAUCGACGGGGGUGUUUGGCACCUCGAUGUCGGCUCGUCCCAUCCUGGGGCUGAAGUAGGUCCCAAGGGUUGGGCUGUUCGCCCAUUAAAGAGGUACGCGAGCUGGGUUCAGAACGUCGUGAGACAGUUCGGUCCCUAUCCGCUGUGGGCGUUGGAGAUUUGAGUGGAGCUGUUCUUAGUACGAGAGGACCGGGAUGGACGUAGCUCUGGUGCACCAGUUGUACUGCCAAGUGCAUAGCUGGGUAGCCACCUACGGACGGGAUAAGCGCUGAAAGCAUCUAAGUGCGAAGCCCCCCACAAGAAAAGAUCUCCUCCAGAAAUGGUAAGACCCGUGAGAGACUAUCACGUAGAUAGGCCUCAGGUGUAAGUGCAGUAAUGUAUUAAGCUGAGAGGUACUAAUAGGUCGAACACUUGAUC
rnacentral:rRNA from 1 species